GCAAUGGUGGCACAGUGGUAGCACGCGUGACCCAUGUUCAGAGGCCUUCGUCCUCAAGGCGUCCUGUUGUGGGUUCGAGACCCAGCCUGGUGACUUUUACUGCA